ensembl:lncRNA
UGGUGGGAGGAUAUGGGGGUCUGAGGGGGAAAUGGGGGUCCUGUGGUGGGAUAUGCGGGGUAUGGGGGGGAUAUGGGGGUGCUGGGGGAAAAAUGGGGGCAUUGAGGGGGUUUUGGAGAUCCUAAUGUAAGUCUGAAGGAUGUUGGGGUGGGUCUGGGGGUCCUGAAAGGGGUCUGGAAGUCCUGAAAUGGGUCUGGGGGACAUUGAGGGGGUUUGGGGGCACAUCUGGGCCAUUUUGGGUCCCUUCGGAUGAUAUUUAUCCCUGACUGACGACAUUUUGGGGCAAAUGUGGGCCAUUUUGAGGCUCCUGAGAUGGCGUGCAGUGAAUCCUUGACACCUUACAAUGGCUUUUUGGGGCGCUUUUGGGUAACUUCAGUGCCUAAGAACGGCUUUAUAUUACACCAAAGUCCCCUUAAUGCUCCUGGGCUGUCUUUAAAGCUACACAGACGCCCCAUUGGGCACCAUUUGAGUGUUUUUAGGGCUGACGCCGGGUGGCCCGGGAUGCCUUUGGGCCCUUUGAGGCGAUCUGGGCCUGCUCUGGUGCUCCGGACCCCCCAUUGCCGACCCCACCGUACCUCCAUUCCACGCUACGGGGCUCCUGCCGUUCCCUCCGCACCCCCGUGGAGCUUUAGCCGUCCCUUUCGGCUUGGCCGGCGCGGUUUACCAUCGUCAGACCGCGCGCCGUUCCACUCCGCUCCCCUCCCCGUCCGCCCUCAAAAUGGCGGCCGCGCCUCACGCCUCACGCGGUGGGCGUGGCCUCGCUUCGCGCUUCGCCCUCCUCCCGACCAAUCAGCGCGCGGCUCUCGGCCGUUUCCACAGCAACGCGCGUGGCCCCGCCCCCCAGCUUCGCGCCCUUCGCGCCUCUCCCCUGUCCACCAAUCAGCGCGCGGGAUUCCGCCGUCUCCACGGCGACGCGCGUAGCCCCGCCCCCUCGUGCCCUUCGCGCCUCUCCCCUCCCUCCGCCAAUCAGCGCGCGGGGUUCCGCCGUCUCCAUGGCGACGCGCUGGCCCCGCCCCCCUCCCUCAGUCACUGCGCCCCAGGGGCGCUCGGUGCGCGGUCGGCUCCGCUCGGUUCGUUCCCCGUUGGGCGGCGUUCCGCUCCCCGCCGCCGGUCCCCCGUCGCUCCCCGCCGCCCAGCGGCGCGCCGAUCCGCGGUAACAGCGGGGAAAGAAGGGGGGGGAGGGGGCGGUCCCGCUCGGCGCCCACCCUCCCCCUCCCCCUCUCUCAUAGGGUACAAUGGUUCGGCCCGAGGGGGGGGGCGGGGCGCGGCCGCCAUUUUGCGCGCGGCGGCGGCGGCGGCGGAGGAGCGGAGCGGGAGGAGGAAGGGAACGGUGGGGGGGGGGAGGUGGGGAGGUGACGGGCGAGCGGCGCGGCCAAUCGGAGCGCGGCGGGGGCGGGGCCUGAGCCAAUCGGAGCGCGGCGUGGGGCGCGGAGCCCCGCCCAUCCCGGCCCGGCGGCCGCCAUGGACGCGGGAGGAUGGAGCAGCUUCAUCUUCCAGCCGGCCCCGCCCCCCGCGGUGGCCCCGCCCCCCGACGCCCUCCCCCCAUCGGAGCUGCUCCCCCCGCUGCUUCCCGACCCCUCCCCCGCCACCGCCGCCGCUUCCACCGUCGAUCCGGGAGCUUUAAAACCCGCUCCUCCCCUACCGGAAGCACCCGUUGCUCCACCGGAAGUCCCCCUUUCUCAAGCGCCGGAAGCGACCCCUCCGACCCGGAAGUCCAAAAGCAAAGGGCCGUACGUCUGCGCUCAGUGCGCCAAGGAAUUCAAGAACGGUUACAACCUGCGGCGCCACCAGGCCACGCACGGCGCCAGACCUCCCGCCCUCAUGGGGGCGCUGUCGCAAGGCUCCAACGCCGCCGCAUCCGCCGCCGUCUCGUUGCUCCCGGACGGCAGCGCCGCUUCCAGUCCUCCCAUCCUCAUGGGGGCGCUGUCGGACGGCACGACCGGAAGCGGCGCCGGAAGUGCCCGCAAAAGGAAGAGCCACGCUUGCGAAGCUUGCGGGAAAGCUUUCCGUGACGUUUAUCACCUGCGGAGGCACCGUUUGGCCCAUUCGGACGAGCGGCCGUUCCAGUGCCCCGUGUGUCAGCAGCGAUUCAAGCGGAAGGACCGCAUGGGGCACCACCUGCGCGGACAUCAGGGCGCCGUGCACCGCCCCUACGCCUGUGCGCACUGCCCCAAGGCCUUCUCGCGGUCAGUCUCUAUGAUCCCUGCCCUCUUUUGGCCGCUCUGACACUCAGUCUCUAUGAUCCCUGCCCCCUUUUUGCCCUUCUGGCACUCAGUCUCUAUGAUCCCUGCCCUCUUUUGGCCGCUCUGUCACUCGGUCUCUAUGAUCUCUGCCCUCCUUUGUCUCUUUCACACUCAGUCUCUAUGAUCCCUGUCCUCUUUUGGCCGUUCUGGCGCUCGGUCUCUAUGAUCCCUGCCCUCCUUUGUCCCUUUCACACACAGUCUCUAUGAUCCCUGCCCUCUUUUGGCCCCUCUGGCACUCAGUCUCUAUGAUCCCUGCCCUCUUUUGGCUUUUCUCACAUUCAGUCUCUAUGAUCC